rnacentral:tRNA from 1 species
GCCUUCGUGGUGUAAUGGUCAGCACGCUCGACGCCUAUUUGAGAGGGGCAUGGUUCGAGUCCUGGCGAGGGCA